ACUUGUUCCUUGGGUGGCGAGCGGCGGACGGGUGAGUAAUGCCUGGGAAAUUGCCCGGUAGAGGGGGAUAACCAUUGGAAACGAUGGCUAAUACCGCAUAACCUCGCAAGAGCAAAGCAGGGGACCUUCGGGCCUUGCGCUACCGGAUAUGCCCAGGUGGGAUUAGCUAGUUGGUGAGGUAAGGGCUCACCAAGGCGACGAUCCCUAGCUGGUCUGAGAGGAUGAUCAGCCACACUGGAACUGAGACACGGUCCAGACUCCUACGGGAGGCAGCAGUGGUCAUAGCUU
rnacentral:rRNA from 1 species